rnacentral:rRNA from 1 species
CCUACGGGAGGCAGCAGUGAGGAAUAUUGGUCAAUGGCCGCAGGGCUGAACCAGCCAAGUCGCGUGAGGGAUGACGGUCCUAUGGAUUGUAAACCUCUUUUGUCAGGGAGCAAAGGGCGCCACGUGUGGCGCUUUGCGAGUACCUGAAGAAAAAGCAUCGGCUAACUCCGUGCCAGCAGCCGCGGUAAUACGGAGGAUGCGAGCGUUAUCAGGAUUUAUUGGGUUUAAAGGGUGCGCAGGCGGAAUGUCAAGUCAGCGGUAAAAUUUCGGGGCUCAACCCCGUCGUGCCGUUGAAACUGGCGUUCUUGAGUGAGCGAGAAGUAUGCGGAAUGCGUGGUGUAGCGGUGAAAUGCAUAGAUAUCACGCAGAACUCCGAUUGCGAAGGCAGCAUACCGGCGCUCAACUGACGCUCAUGCACGAAAGCGUGGGUAUCGAAUAGGAUUAGAUACCCGAGUAGUC